rnacentral:rRNA from 1 species
ACGGGAUCCAUCGGUAGCUUGCUACCGAUGGUGAGAGUGGCGCACGGGUGCGUAACGCGUGAGCAACCUGCCCAUAUCAGGGGGAUAGCCCGGAGAAAUCCGGAUUAACACCGCAUGACACUGCUUUCCGGCAUCGGGAGGUAGUCAAAUAUUCAUAGGAUAUGGAUGGGCUCGCGUGACAUUAGCUAGUUGGUGGGGUAACGGCCCACCAAGGCGACGAUGUCUAGGGGCUCUGAGAGGAGAAUCCCCCACACUGGUACUGAGACACGGACCAGACUCCUACGGGAGGCAGCAGUAAGGAAUAUUGGUCAAUGGGGGCAACCCUGAACCAGCCAUGCCGCGUGCAGGACGACUGCCCUAUGGGUUGUAAACUGCUUUUGUUAGGGAAUAAACCCCGCUACGUGUAGCGGGCUGAAUGUACCUAAAGAAUAAGGAUCGGCUAACUCCGUGCCAGCAGCCGCGGUAAUACGGAGGAUCCGAGCGUUAUCCGGAUUUAUUGGGUUUAAAGGGUGCGUAGGCGGCACUUUAAGUCAGGGGUGAAAGACGGCAGCUCAACUGUCGCAGUGCCCUUGAUACUGAAGUGCUUGAAUGCGGUUGAAGACGGCGGAAUGAGACAAGUAGCGGUGAAAUGCAUAGAUAUGUCUCAGAACACCGAUUGCGAAGGCAGCUG